GGAAUCUCUCAGAACAUGUAAGUUAAUUUGUUAGGAAAAAUUUUUGAAGUAAUAUAUCUAUCAGCUUUAACCUUGCCAUAAAUAUGAUGAAAUUUUUCUAGGUGAUUUUAAAAUACCAAAAACCUUUUGCAUCUCAAAAUAUACAAAUUUUUUCCUCAAAAUUGAGGAACCAAACAAUCAAACAUGAUCUAUAAUGUCAAACUUCUGAUAAAUGAGAAGUCAGAAUUGUCGUGAUAAUUAUUCUGAUACCUUUUUUGUGUGUUUCAAGCAUCAAGGAGAUUGCAGACCAUGAAUAUUGUAUUUUUCCUUUG
rnacentral:misc_RNA from 1 species